rnacentral:rRNA from 1 species
UACGGAGGGUGCAAGCGUUAUCCGGAUUUACUGGGUUUAAAGGGUGCGCAGGCGGAUAUGUAAGUCAGUGGUGAAAUCUCCAGGCUUAACCUGGAAAUUGCCGUUGAUACUAUAUAUCUUGAAUGUUGUGGAGGUGAGCGGAAUAUGUCAUGUAGCGGUGAAAUGCUUAGAUAUGACAUAGAACACCAAUUGCGAAGGCAGCUCACUACACAAUUAUUGACUCUGAGGCACGAAAGCGUGGGGAUCAAACAGG